UGUCAUUAAAACAUAAAUGCGAUAACUGGGUCACUUAAAAAGACAUACAAAAUAUAAUCAUAAUUUUGUUCAUGUUCAGAGUUCGUUGGUUAUAUCUUUUGUUAUUCAAUGUAGAUUUUAAAUUUAAACAAAAGUUUUUCAGUUGUAGUGUUUGAUGCAACUUUAUUUAUACAAAAGGAGAUGGAUGUGUUGCUCUUGGAAAUUUGAAAAUAAAAGAUGAUUUUUUGUAUUUAGAGCAAUAGAUAUAUUGAUCAAUGCAGACAAAGCGCUUUCGGCCAUCUUCAGUGUCAACUAAUUGAGAAUUAAUACAAAUGUUUUUGAAAAUUUUAAUAGGAAAGUAAAGGAUAAAUGGAUAAGCCAUAUAAUGUGGGAAGCGCUUCACCUAGUAUCCACAACCUAAAAGUGCUUGGUUUUUUCUUUACCAUGAAGGUCUGGCAAAAAAGGGUCUAUUAAAAAUCCAUAAAAAACGAACCGAACAAUAUACAGUGAGGGACAAAAGUAUUGGCACACCAUAAUUUUAUAAAGUAAUUUAUUAAUGUUUACUAUAUUUAUGUAACCCAAUAAUAACUAUCUAACUAAAAACAUAUGAAAGAUUUAGUACAAUAAUAAUAAUGAAAAAUAAAACAGAUUUCCUUAAGCAUAACGAGAGCAUAACAAAAAAAUAAAAAUUACAUUCUAUUUAAAAUGGACAUAACUAUUGGCACACCAAAUAAAAAUAAAAUUUAAUCCUAGUUCUAAUAUUUUGUAGGACCUCCUUUUCUUUUUAUAAUAUGAGUGCGCCUCCUUUUCAUUGAAUGGACCAGCUUUUGCGUAUAGGAAGGCUCAAAACUAUUCCAUUCUUGCAGCAAAACACGUUUAAGCUCUUCCUUACUGGAAAUAUGGUGUUUCCUUAUUCGUUUUCCUAGCUCACUCCAAAGAUUUUCGAUCGGGUUGACAUCUGGAGAUUGAGGAGGUGUAUUUAAAGUAUGAGGGACAUUAAACGCAAUCCACUGCUUGACUAUAUAGGCUGUAUGUUUCGGAUCGUUGUCCUGUUGAAAGUAAUAAUCAUUUGCCAAAUUAAGUUUUUCCGCACUAGCUCUUAAGUUUUUUUUUAGAAUAUUUAAAUAUACAUUUUUGUCCAUAAUACCAUGUAUAAAAACCAGAUUUCCGACCCCUCCCGAUGACAUACAGCCCCACACUAGUACACUACCACCGCCAUGUUUCACAGUCUUAUGCAGAUUUUGUGCAUCUGGUUCACAAUUGGGCUUCCUCCACACAGUCACUUUCCCAUCUGAAUGAAAAAUGUUGAAUUUACUUUCAUCAGAGAAUAUUACUUUGUCCCAAAAUACAUUAUCUUGAUGAAAAUGUGCAUUCGCAAAGUCAAGGCGCUUUUUUUGGUUAACCUUAUUAAUAAAUGGUUUAUUCCGAGCUACUCUGGCUCUAUAUCCAGCCCUAUGAAGAACUCUUCGUACUGUUUUGAGCUCACGUUGAUGCUAUCUUCUUCUGUCAAUAUAGCCGCAAUUUCAGAAGCGCUAGUUCGAGGAUUUUGCUUAAUUUUAUUCACAAUUUUUCUUUCUUGCCUCUCCGUUAACUUUGGCGGACGUCCAGUUCUAGGCUUAUUUUUAAAAUUUUCUGCAGUUUCAAACCUUUUUAAGACACUACGCACAGUAAAUCGACUUUUCUUCACAAUUUGGGCAAUCGCUGAAUACGAUUUACCCUCUUUUCGCUGUUGUACAAUUAUUUUUCGCUCGGAUUCCGUCGUUUCUUGGCCUUUGCGACCCAUAUUUGCAAUGUAUGCACUUAAAAUAAGCACUAAACCUAAAGAAAUAUUUUACUUCAUAUAAAUAUUCUGUUAAAGAAUGUAAAAAAACUGCUUCAAAAUUCUCACAUACAAGGCACCUAUUUUUAAACACUUUGUAAACAUGUGUGCCAAUACUUUUGUCCAUGAGAUUUUUGAUAGAAUUUUAAUAUGGGUUCUUUUGUAAAGCCUUUAUUUAUUAAAUUUGUAUUAAAUAUUAAGAAACGAAUGCUCUUGGGUAUACACUUUAAAUUAGAAAAUAUUUAAAUGUAAUAGGUCUAGUAGCUUAAGAGGACAGAUACGAAUUUUAAUAAAAAUCAAUAUGUGCCAAUACUUUUGUUCCUCACUGUAUAUCAUAUAUCUAUAUAAUAUAUCUAUACGUAAACUUUCCAAUACAAAAUUUCUGAGAACGCCUAAUAUAGUAAGAAAGUGUUCCAGGAACUAUUUUGCAAACCCAGGAGUAUGAUGAUCGCGACGCGAAAUUAAGUUAGUCAGUAGUCUGCUAAUUUUGAUGUCGGGAAGCGCAUCGGUCGUUCUAUCAACCUUUGUUAAUUUCUUUGUCACAUAAUAUUAUCGUGUAAUAUCUUAUUCAUAUCUUCAGUUAGACCAUUAAAUUUGUUUACGAAUUA
rnacentral:lncRNA from 1 species